CCUGCCCCUAGAGGUGUUGCAGGUGUGGCUUCUGUGCCACAUGUACAUGUGGCAGAAAGGAAAGAGGCUUUGUCUACGCUCAGUGUUCUAACCUGUGACCAUCUGAAGAAUUAGUAGUCUAAUAGU